GGAAGGAUCAUUACAGUGUUUCGGUUGCGGUGCGCCCCGCCCUUGGGCGGUGGUGCGCCCUCCAAAACCCCCACCCGUGAAUACUUGACCUUCUGUUGCUUCGGCGGGCCCGCCCCUGGGCCGCCGGGGGAUCUUCCCCUGGCCUGCGCCCGCCGAGGAAUCAUCUGAACUCGAUCUUGAAUGUGUGGCUGUCUGAGUGGGCUUGCGAAUCGUUUAAAACUUUCAACAAUGGAUCUCUUGGUUCCGGCAUCGAUGAAGAACGCAGCGAAAUGCGAUAAGUAAUGUGAAUUGCAGAAUUCCGUGAAUCAUCGAAUCUUUGAACGCACAUUGCGCCCCUUGGUAUUCCAGGGGGCAUGCCUGUCCGAGCGUCAUUGCAACCUUCAAGCGCGGCUUGUGUGUUGGGCCUCGUCCCCCCGUGGACGGGCCUGAAAGGCAGUGGCGGCGCCCGCACCUGGUGCCCGAGCGUAUGGGAAUCUUCUUUCCGCUCGACGUGGCCCGGCGCGCGCUGGUCUUCACCGAAGGGGCCUCGCGUCCAUUUUUCACCGGUUGACCUCGGAUCAGGUAGGGAUACCCGCUGAACUUAAGCAUAUCAAUAAGCGGAGGAAAAGAAACCAACAGGGAUUGCCCCAGUAACGGCGAGUGAAGCGGCAAAAGCUCAAAUUUGAAAUCUGGCCUCCAUCUUGGGGGUCCGAGUUGUAAUUUGAAGAGGAUGCUUUGGGCGCGACCGCGGCGUAAGUCCCUUGGAACAGGGCGUCGUAGAGGGUGAGAAUCCCGUCUUCAGUCGCUGGCUCGUGCCCGUUUAAAGCUCCUUCGACGAGUCGAGUUGUUUGGGAAUGCAGCUCUAAGUGGGUGGUAAAUUUCAUCUAAAGCUAAAUACUGGCCGGAGACCGAUAGCGAACAAGUAGAGUGAUCGAAAGGUUAAAAGCACCUUGAAAAGGGAGUUAAAAAGCACGUGAAAUUGUUGAAAGGGAAGCGCUUGCGAUCAGACUCGGGCCCGGGGGCUCAGGGGGCAUGUUUGCCCCUGCACUCCCCCGGAUUCGGGCCAGCAUCAGUUCCGACGGCCGGUCAAAGGCCCCUGGAAUGUGUCGUCCUCCGGGACGUCUUAUAGCCAGGGGUGCAAUGCGGCCAGUUGGGACUGAGGAACGCGCUUCGGCACGGAUGCUGGCGUAAUGGUCGUAAGCGGCCCGUCUUGAAACACGGACCAAGGAGUCUAACAUCCACGCGAGUGUUCGGGUGUCAAACCCGUGCGCGCAGUGAAAGCGAACGGAGGUGAGAGCCCGCAAGGGCGCAUCAUCGACCGAUCCUGAAGUCUUCGGAUGGAUUUGAGUACGAGCGUGGCUGUUGGGACCCGAAAGAUGGUGAACUAUGCCUGAAUAGGGUGAAGCCAGAGGAAACUCUGGUGGAGGCUCGCAGCGGUUCUGACGUGCAAAUCGAUCGUCAAAUUUGGGUAUAGGGGCGAAAGACUAAUCGAACCAUCUGGUAGCUGGUUCCUGC
rnacentral:misc_RNA from 1 species